rnacentral:rRNA from 1 species
UACAGAGGGUGCAAGCGUUGUCCGGAAUUAUUGGGCGUAAAGAGCUCGUAGGUGGCCUGUCGCGUCGGCUGUGAAAACUCGGGGCUCAACUCCGAGCUUGCAGUCGAUACGGGCAGGCUAGAGUUCGGCAGGGGAGACUGGAAUUCCUGGUGUAGCGGUGAAAUGCGCAGAUAUCAGGAGGAACACCGGUGGCGAAGGCGGGUCUCUGGGCCGAUACUGACACUGAGGAGCGAAAGCGUGGGGAGCGAACAGG